UGCGGUAAGAGCGCACCGCGUGAAUGGCAACAUCUCACGGCAUGGUAAACUCCACGCGUAGCAAGACCAAAUAGGCAUCGGCAUGGCGCGGCCCGCGUUCGAUGCGGGUAGGUUGCUUGAGCGUAUCAGCGAUGAUACGCCUAGAGGAAUGAUCGUCCACGACAGAACCCGGCUUAUCGGUUUACCAAACCU
rnacentral:RNase_P_RNA from 1 species